rnacentral:rRNA from 1 species
UACAGAGGGGGCAAGCGUUGUUCGGAAUUACUGGGCGUAAAGGGCGCGUAGGCGGCCCGCUAAGUCGAACGUGAAAUCCCCGAGCUCAACUCGGGAACUGCGUCCGAUACUGGCGGGCUUGAAUCCGGGAGAGGGAUGCGGAAUUCCAGGUGUAGCGGUGAAGUGCGUAGAUAUCAGGAGGAACACCGAUGGCGAAGGCAGGUCUCUGGGCCAUAACUGACGCUGAGAAGCGAAAGCAUGGGGAGCGAACAGG